UACGUAGGGUGCGAGCGUUGUCCGGAAUUAUUGGGCGUAAAGAGCUUGUAGGCGGUUUGUCGCGUCUGCCGUGAAAAUUCGAGGCUCAACCUCGAACUUGCGGUGGGUACGGGCAGACUAGAGUGUGGUAGGGGAGACUGGAAUUCCUGGUGUAGCGGUGAAAUGCGCAGAUAUCAGGAGGAGCACCGAUGGCGAAGGCAGGUCUCUGGGCCACUACUGACGCUGAGAAGCGAAAGCAUGGGGAGCGAACAGG
rnacentral:rRNA from 1 species